rnacentral:lncRNA from 1 species
UUGGAGGAACAGGGCAGGAAAACACCAUUUAUAGGAUGAUGGAAGCGCUUAUGACAUCUCCUAUGGCAACUUUAUUCAACUGGAAGGGCCGUGCAAGAGGGGAUGGCAGCAAAGAAAAACAUGGUCUGUGCAAAAGCAGAAUUGCCAGAGUCGUGCAUGAUGCUGCCAAAACAAUGGUAUCAAGGAAAGUGACGCAGAAAGAAUCAUGAAGACAUGGUUGAAAAAUGCCAGUGACAGGGAGGGAGGAAGACAGCGAAGAUUGUUGAAGAAGAUUG